UGGUUGGUGGUUGAACUUCGAUUUU
ensembl:ncRNA